rnacentral:rRNA from 1 species
GAGUUUGAUCCUGGCUCAGAACGAACGCUGGCGGCGUGGAUAAGACAUGCAAGUCGAACGGGAUAUUGUUUGUAGCAAUACAGAUAAUGUCCAGUGGCGUAAGGGUGCGUAACACGUGGGCAAUCUGCCGAGAAGUGGGGGAUAGCUCGCCGAAAGGCGAAUUAAUACCGCAUGUGGUCAGUGAAGACAUCUUCACAACACUAAAGCCGGGGCAACCUGGCGCUUCUUGAUGAGCCCGCGGCCUAUCAGCUAGUUGGUGAGGUAACGGCUCACCAAGGCUAUGACGGGUAGCUGGUCUGAGAGGACGACCAGCCACACUGGAACUGAGACACGGUCCAGACACCUACGGGUGGCAGCAGUCGAGAAUUUUUCUCAAUGGGGGAAACCCUGAAGGAGCGACGCCGCGUGGAGGAUGAAGGUCUUCGGAUUGUAAACUCCUGUCAUUUGGGAACAAUUGUUGGCGAUUAACUGUCGUCAGCUUGAUAGUACCAGAAGAGGAAGAGACGGC